AAACCCUUACCGAAAGCAAUUGGAGGGCAAGUCUGGUGCCAGCAGCCGCGGUAAUUCCAGCUCCAAUAGCGUAUAUUAAAGUUGUUGCAGUUAAAAAGCUCGUAGUUGAAGUUCUGGCUGCUUGACCCUCGAGCUCUGUAGCCGAGGGCUCAGCAGUCAUCCGCUUGCGAAUAUAUGUUCGCCUUUAACCGGGCGACUAUAUGAGUAAGCAUUUUACCUUGAGAAAAACAGAGUGUUCCAGGCAGGUUUGUCCGGAAUGCAUUAGCAUGGAAUAAUAGAAUAUGACUGAAGUCGAUUUAUUGGUUUGAGGCUUUAGUAAUGAUUAAUAGGAACAGUCGGGGGCAUUGGUACUUGUCAGUCAGAGGUGAAAUUCUAGGAUUUGACAAAGACUAACAAAUGCGAAAGCAUUUGCCAAGGAUGUUUUCAUUAAUCAAGAACGAAAGUUAGGGGAUCAAAGACGAUCAGAUACCGUCCUAGUCUUAACUAUAAACUAUACCGACUCGGAUUCAGAUGAAUCAUAAAGUUCAUUUGGGACCGUAGGAGAAAUCAAAGUUUUUGGGUUCUGGGGAAGUAAGGUCGCAAGGCUGAAACUUAAAGGAAUUGACGGUUUUGCGCCACCAUGGAGUGGAGUCUGCGGCUUAAUUUGACCCAACACUGGGAAACUCAUCAGGGCAAGAAGAUUGUAGGAUUGACAGAUUGAGAGUUCUUUCUUGAUUGGUCUAGUGGUGGUGCAUGGCCGUUCUUAGUUGGUGGAGUGAUUUGUCUGGUUAAUUCCGUUAACGAACGAGACCUUAACCUGCUAACUAGUACACCGAUGACAAAUCGGUGAUACUUCUUAGAGGGACUAUGUGAUGUAAUCACAUGGAAGUUUGAGGCAAUAACAGGUCUGUGAUGCCCUUAGAUGUCCUGAGCUGCACGCGUACUACAAUGGUGCUUUCAUCGAGCUUUUCCUGAUCCGAAAGGAUUUGGGUAAUCUUUUUAGUGAGCACCGUGCUUGGGAUAGAUCUUUGUAAUUAUGGAUCUUGAACUAGGAAUUCCUAGUAAGCACGUGUCAUCAGCACGUGCUGAUUACGUCCCUGCAAAAUGUACACACCGCCCGUCGCUAUUACCGAUUGAGUGUAAAGGUGAACCUUCUCGAUAGGCGCGAGCUUAGAAAUUAAGUAAACCUUUGCACUUAGAGGAAAUAAAAGUCGUAACAAGGUUUCCGUAGGUGAACCUGCGGAAG
rnacentral:rRNA from 1 species